ACAAACAGCCAAACGUUCAGGUCGUUUACCGUUUUAGAAUUGCUACAGCUAGCCUGUUAGCUUGUCAUUAGCUAGAGUCUGCGACAUUUUUCCAGAUUUUCCUCUGAAAAUAGCGGCCAACUGGGAGCUGGAGGAGGGGAAGCCGGAUCUAACAAAUCAACAACCUGAUGAUUUCUGUUGACGCAGUGUUUACUGCUGACCACAUGAUGGCAGUGCAGCGUAGCGCAUGAAUCCCCACAGACACAGAGCCAUUGGAAUAAAGUCCCACCUGCAGGACAAGAUAGGACUGUUGAAGCUCCAGCAGAGGUGCCAGCCCCUGGCCUCUGAUCUGCCCACAAACAUCUGGCAGCUGCCAAGAGGGAGAGAGGGACAUGUAGGUGGUGUGGAGCGGAGAGGAAAGGAUGUUCUACUACAGGAGGCUGUGUGGGUGUUUGCUGCUGGCGAUGGAGCGCAGGGAUGAUCCGAGCUGCUGGUGGUACCUCUGUGGAGCCUUUCCACAUGGAUAAUUUCUGGAGCAGAUCCCAUAAAUACAAGCCUCCCUCUGUCUGUUUGAAAACCUCUCCAACAGCGAAUGGAUGCUGAGAGCACCGAGGCGUUUUACUGAGAGGCCUCAGUUCGCACAGUCGCCUGUUAAUAUUUACAUGUUAAUGGGAUUCAGAAACACUUGAUAUGUAAAAUAUGAGCUGCUUUUAAUCUGUCAGCCUCAGGAAGGCUUAAAUAGACCAAUACAAGUAUAACUGUAAGGUAAACGGAAUAUGACACAUGGUUUUCAACAUUUUCACAAUAAAAAAUCAACAUUG